rfam:Haliaeetus albicilla contig72698, whole genome shotgun sequence.
AAAUUGACUUUUUUUAAAGUCACAUAUAAUACAACUUGAAAUGUAU